AAAUAAAAUAGGUUUAUGAAAUUAUAAGUUUAAUAAGUUAUUUUAUAUUUUAAUUUAUUAAGGAUAAGCUUAGUAAAAAAUAGGAAAGAUGUAUAAACCUAAUAAACUAUGUGAGCUUGAAAUUAGCUACCAUAAUAGAACUUGUUACAAAAUAAUUUAUAGAGUCGGGAAAAUUUUAAUACUUGCUCUUUCCUAGCGCUAUAAAGGCAAUAGAAAGAAUCUACAGAUCUAAUCUGCGUAUGCUAAGAUGAGUAUUUUUAAACUCCUAAAGAGAUAAAACAAACUAAAAAACAUCUAUAACAACAGUUUUUUGAAAAUAAAAUAAGGAAAAGGAACUCGGCAAACAUUAGCUCCGCCUGUUUAUCAAAAACAUGGCUCUUUGUUAAUUUAACAUAAAGAGUCGGACCUGCCCAGUGAAAAUUUUCAACGGCCGCGGUACCCUGACCGUGCAAAGGUAGCAUAAUCAUUUGCCUUAUAAUUGAAGGCUUGUAUGAAUGGUUUGACGAGAGCGUUUCUGUCUCUUCCUUAAUAGAUAGAAUUUGACUUUUAGGUGAAGAGGCCUAAAUAUAAUUAAAAGACAAGAAGACCCUAUCGAGCUUAAAAAUUAAAUUAGGGACAAUUAUAAAUUUAAAUUUACUACUAACUCAUUUUUUGAUUGGGGCGAUCAAGGAACAACAAGAGCUUCCUUUAUUUAUUUUAACCUAUAGGUAUUGAUCCAGUUAAAACUGAUUAAGAGAAUUAGUUACCGUAGGGAUAACAGCAUAAUCUCUCUUGAGAGACCUAAUCGAAAGAGGGGGUUGUGACCUCGAUGUUGGACUAGUAAUAUCCUAAAGGCGCAGAAGUCUUU
rnacentral:rRNA from 1 species